AAGACUAUAGACCUGCGGAGUACCUGCGGAAGGAUCAUUAUCGUAUUGUAACAAUUGGGGGGGCCACCGUGGGCUGUCGCUGACCCUUUGAAAGGGGGGUCGUGCACGCCCCCAUAGUGUCAUCCUCAUACAAUCCAACUCACCUCUGUGCAUCACCGCGUGGGUUCCUUUCUGGGUCGAGUCAGACUGGCUCAGAAAAAAGGGGCUUGCGUUCUCCAUACAAAUACCCUUAUAAAUCCA
rnacentral:misc_RNA from 1 species